AUAGUUUUAGCAAACUUACACACCGUUUCAACAUUAAGUUUAGUGACCUCUGAUUGGCGUAAGUGUUGGUCAUUACUGCCGACGUGAAUAACAAUCAUACCAUACUUAGCCUUAGCCAGCAGUUUCAGAUAAGAUUGGUUGUCACCCGCACUGGCCCCUGGAAUGCAUCUAACUAUGGUCACUGGUUUCUCUAACUUCACUUUCCGCAAAAUAGAGUCACCAAUUACCAGAGUUAGCUUCUUAGCGGGUGUGUCGCCGAGUGGGGAAAAUCUGUUAGAAACAUGAAGCGGUUGGUGCAGCUCCGUGGGCCGGAGCAAGAAAAUAUCCAUGGUGCCAAUCCAUGGUGGCUGAAAUGUUGUCAGAGGACAGAGGACGUCUCCACUGCCGACAGUGGAAACAGGUCGCCAGUCUGUCGCAGGGCUAACACAGAGACAAUCAAAUCAUUCACACUAACACUCACACCUAUGGUCAAUUUAGAGUCACCAGUUAGCCUAACAAGCAUGUCUUUGGAGGUGGGAGGAAACCAGAGUACCCAGAGAAAACCCACAUAGACACAGGGAAAACAUGCAAACUCCACCCAUAAAGUGUUCCUGUUUCCCCAAAUGUAUUAAAUAAAUAAUUGAGUCAACAAUUUUCUUCUUUUCUGUAGUUACUUUAAAUGUUUUAGAAUAUGGGUCAAUUCUCUUGUUGAUGGGUAAUAUUAAAACAUAGUGAAGUAUUAAAAUUGGCCACUGUAAAUUCAUAUUCUCACUGUACAAUAUUACCUACCAUUAAUACUGUAUUGCCAUAAACAAUAACAUUGUAAAACAACAGUGCUUAACUGUUUUCAUUUGUACAGUUAAUAAACCAGCAC